UUUUAAUUAUUAAAGAUGACAAACAUAACAUUGUGAUGUUUGGUAUUAUUAUUUAGUAACUAAUUUGUGUGUAUGUUUAUGUUUCAUUAGGACAAAUAUAUGUUUUAUUAUUUAGUAACUAAUUUUUGCGUAUGUUUAUGUUUAUAAUAAAUGAUGCAAUAUUGAUUGAUAGGUAAGUACUCCAAUAUUAAGUCAUAUAUCUGAUUAUUGCAUAGCGGUAAGGAGUUGGACAUGAUUUUUAAGCAUAUCAUAUCAAUGGUUGAGUCACUAUAUUGUAUGUUUUCAAUUUAGUUCAUCCCAUUAUAGGACAACAUUAUAGCAAUAUUGCAUUACAACCACAUAUUUAUAUUGAAAGUCCAUUAUAAAUAUUGCAUUCUAGGACAACAUUACGCUUAUUGAUUAUUUGAUGAAUUAUUGUUUAAAUAUUGUAUAGAGGUUUGUGGGUGUUAUACUAGACCUAUUAAAAAUACGUCUUAUACUAGGUUGUUUAGGUAACAUGGUUUAUCGUAUACUCCCCCCAAAUAUAUGGUAAAUCUUAAAAGGCUCCACAAAAGUUAAUAAAAUUAUAUAUUACACACAUCUACUUGAAAUAUCAUUCUUACCCUUGUUAUGAAAUAAAUAAAAAAACACAACCCCAAGACUUUCCCGUUUUAUAACACAGUAAAUAAACAAGUAACCACUUUGUUUUAUGUCAAUCAAUCUACAUGUGCAUAUCUUAUUAAAGAGAGGGACUAGACGACUUGAUAUUUCACACUUUUGUAGCAUAGUACACGAUUGGAUAGAUCCAAAGAAAUAAGUUAUAAUUUAAUACUUCAACUUUGUCUCUUUCAAAAUUCCUAUCCAACUUUAACUUUGUCUCUCUUACUCGGAAAAUACUUGGGUGCCAUAGUUUUUUGGUGACAUUGGUGAUAUAGGUUCAUUUUAUAUGAGAGAGAAUGAUUAAACUAAAUUAUUUAGAUGAGAGAGAGAGAAUAAGUUAUUAAGAGAGAGAUAAACACAAAGUUAUCUAUGGCACCAAUGGCACCAAAAAACUAUGGAACCCAAGUGCUAGCCCUCUUACUCUAUAAAAUAGGGGUGGUUGAGUAAAAUUGACAUGUCUAUUGAUUAUUUUAUUUUAUUUUUUAAUUUGUGUUGUCAAAACCUGAAACGACCCUACGGAUUGAGUAUUAUUAUUAUACAUAAGCGCAAAGUUAACCCUACUCUCGCCUCCCUUCCACUCUUACAGACACACAAGCACAAACAGCAGCUCCUUAGGAACAAAUUACCAUGUCAAAGGCAAAUGAGAAAGAGGAGAUACACUAUGGAGCUAAGCAAAAUGACUUGAAAAAUGAAAUCAUAUAAAAAGGUUUUGUAGACGUCAAAGGGAAAGGUAAGGAACCUCUUGUAGACGUCAAAGAGAAAGGUAAGGAAUCUCUUGUUGAUGAAGAAAUGAAAACGAAUUUUCAUGCAUUUGUGGAAACAGCUUAUGAGAAGAGGAAACUUGAAAAGGAUUUAGAAGAUAUAGAAAAUGAUAGUUGUGAUUUUCCUUCUGAACAAGACAAGAACUUGAAUGUUGAGGAUGCUGAAGUGAAGAUAGUGUAUGGUGAUAAGCAAAAGAAGCUGAAAAAAGAGUUCGAGAAAGCCUUAAAAAAGGAGGGAUUUGAAGCUGGCAAAGGAUAAGAGGGGAAGAGAGAAGUAGACAUAAUAAUUAUGUGUUUGGGUCUUCACUUCUCUGUUUUGCAGGUAUUCAUUCCCUUGUGUAAAUGAUUUAAGAAAGUGGUGACCCAAGUUUUUUGUGGAGAACUUGUUUUUUCUUUUUUAGUUUUCAAGUUAAAAUCUUCUCCAUUAAAUACAUUAUUAAUGUUAUAACUGAUGUUGGAUAUAAAGGUAUUGUUUCACAAAAUUAAUGGUUAGUUAGACAAAAAACGAACAUUGAUCUACUUUGGUAAAUAAUAAUUGAGUAUUCAUAAAUUUAUUAAAUUAAUGAUAAAUCAUAUACAGUUAGUUGAGUAUUCAUAAAUAAUUUAACGUAUUAUAUCUUUUGUUUUUUAAAAGUAAUUAUAUUUUUCCGUUUUAUAACACAUUAAUUAAACAAGGAACAACAUUGUUUUAUGUCAAUCAACUUACUCAUGCAUGCUUUAUUAAAGAGAAGGACGAGAAUACUUGACAUUUCACGCUUUUACAACAUAGAACACGAUGAGAUAGAUCAAAAGAAAUUGAAGUUAUAUUUUAAUAAAACUGAAAAGAAAAAAAAAAGUUAUGAUAGAGAGCAUUUCCAUAUGUGUAAAGGUAAAGAUUGUGUAUAAAAAAUUUACUAGAUAUUGAACUAUCUUAUUUAAUUUUAAUACAAUCUGACAAUUUAAAAAAAUUCAUAUUAAUAUGUAUGCAAUGCGUGUUAUUUUUCUUUGUUUUUACGAUAAUCAAUAGGUUUCAAAAUAAAAUGCCAUAUUAUAAUAAAACUAAGAAUUUGAUAUAAAUAAAAUUUUGAAUAAAACCAUACACAAUGGUGUUUGCAAAAGUUAACUUUUUAUUUUAAUAAAUACAUGUCUAUGUUUUUAAAAAAAAUUGUCUAUAAACACUUGAGUAUAACAAAUUAACAUUGCACUUUAAUUAAGCUCAUACAUAGAUCAAAUCAUAUACAUGGAAUCUAACAAUGGUAGUGAUACUAAAUAAAAUAACAUGCGCACAUGGUGGUUAUGUAAAAGUUAACUUUCAAUCUAUAAAAAAAAUUCAUUCACAUCUAUUAUACAAUAACAAUUUAAUUAAUCUAGAAGUCCUAGCUCAACUGGCAAAAAUGCUGAUAUUGUUAGGCUGGAUGCCAUGACCGGGGUUCGAACCCCGGUACCUCCACUUGUGUGUGAGUUUAUAAUGGCUUUGCCAUUUCGUCUAUCUACCAAAAAAAAAAAAACAAGAGGCAAAUAAAUCCCAUGCUUAAAUGAUUGCACUAUGAAUCAAACAUGACUGUGUUUGAUAUGAUUUACCUCAUGUGUUCCUGAGCAUAUAUUGGACACACUGCUAUACAUGUCCCGUGCUAGAGUAGUCGUUUUAUAGCACAUGCCUAAUUAGUUGGAUCCAUUGAGCAAUUAUAACUCAUAAAAGAAACUGUUGUUAGUUGGAAGCAUGGAGGAAGUAAUUAAUUCAAUAGGUGUGAGACUACCUUGGGCACACAACCUAUGGCAACCAAAUAUUCUAGUUGUAUAGGGGAUAAUCUAGAUUAGUGGUCAUUGAGCAAAUAACCUACUUGCCAUUAGUUAGUUUGCUGCAUUGAGCAACCAUAAAAUAAAUGAAGUUGUGAUAAUUGAAAGAAUUGAGCAGCUACAAAAUGUUUAGUAGGUGUAGGAACACCUUGAGAAAAUAAAAACUCGAUGAAAAUCAUUGAGUCAGGGUAGAUUACAUUUCAUUAAGCACAUAAACUAAUUCAUAAGACUACAAAGAGGAACAUAAAUCUGACCACACACUAAUGGCAACACGCAUAACUCACAGACUAUGCUCUCCUUGAGUUCUGCACGCAUAACUCACAGACUAUGCUCUCCUUGAGUUCUGCAGAGAUUAAAUGAAGUAGUUGAUAAACAAAGUUGUAAUUUAGUUGAAAAGAAAUAAUCCACGCAACUGUUUUCGAAUACAGCUUUGCUAUUGCAGAUAAGAUCUUUAAAUCAUCUAUUAGGAAGAUGUAUACAUGCUCACAGUAGGCAUCUGUUAGGAAGAUGUAUUAACAUAUUCAAAACUGUUUGCAAUGAUUUGCUUAUGCUUAAAAAAUAGGGCAUAUACUAAUUAUGUCCUGAUAUUUUUUUUUAUAAUAUAAGUAUCACUGACAUAUUAUUAUUCUUAGUUAACCUAUAUACAUUUUAUAGAUUGUUAGUAUAUAAGAUCAUGUAAGCCUCCCUAAAAAAAAAAAUUAUCAUGAAAGCUUGUGAUUAGAAUUAUUAAGCGAGCAUAGAUAUAUUGAGUUAAUGUCAGCAGGUAUUCAAUAAACAUGCUUGCCAUUUAGGUUUCUAUUUGUAAGUGAUCUAUCAAAUUUUAUUCCAAAUAAAAAUUACCUUUGAAUAACUGUUAUAGCUUAACAUGUCAACGAACAUCGAAAGAUAUAAAACAGAACACUCCAAUUAGGUCUUACAGUUUUAAAUAAAUGAAAAUUGCAAAGAUGAAUGUAAAAGACGUAAUAGAGUGCCAAAUCCAUAAGGUAAUCCAAAAGAGACAUUAAUUAAAACUGCAAAAAUUACAUACCAUAUAAAGCAUGUUGAAUUUGAAAACAACAAAACAUAAGAUAGUUUAACUUGGGCCUAAUUGAAAUUAAACAGGAAACGACAAAACACAAUCAUAACUAACACUAACAAUUUGAAUCUUGCACGAUAGUCAAUUAGCUUCUUCAACCUUAACAGACACAAUCAUUGGUUCCUUAGUGGUAGAUGUGUCGCCUUCAGCAGUAACAAUAUCAUCCAAUGAUUCAACAUAUUCAGAACCUCUCUUUCCCAAUCCCUUGUUAGUCGGUGUCAGCACCGAUUUAGCCACCAUACUAUCAUCCUUGUUGUUUGACUCAGCGCCUUCACUCACAUCCUAAUAUUGAAUAAUCAUUUCAUAUCAUGAAUUAAUUCCGUAUUAGCUAAGAAGGAUACAUAUUAAGAUUAAAAGAAGAAUGCAUAAUAACAUAUAACUAUACCAAAGGAUGGCUAUCUAGCAGCUUAGAUACAACUUCAAUAUAGUCAGCUUCUUCAUCAUUUCCAGGCUGAUGCACAUAAAUUUGAGUUUAUAUAAACAGAGUAUGGAUGUUAUUAUUAUAAUCUAUAUAUCAGUUAGUUUAGUUAAGAUUUUAUAUUAAUUCCAUGCUGAGAAAUGAUUCGUAUUAUGAUUUCAUCAUUAGCAGUCACUUUCUUGAUAGUAUAAUUGUGCCAAUUGCGAUAAAAACUUGAAUCAUUAACUUCAACAUUAUACAACAUAUUCUCCUGUCAACAAAUAUAUUCAACUCUUCAGGAUAGCUACCAAUAAUGUUCCCCUUGCAAACAUAAUAAAAAAUUGCGUGCUAAAUAUGUAAUGUCGAUAUAUAAUCUAUAUAUCAGUUAGUUUAUACGUAAUGUCGAUAUAAAUUGGCAGGACAGAAUUAGAUAAACAAAAUAAUGUACAUCUAAAAAAACUGCACCUCAGCAAUGGCAUCCACCAAGGUGCAGACCGUCUCAAACUCUAUUAUACAAUGCGAUCAAAUAGAAUGAAAGAAGUUGACCCAGUAUUAUCAAUAAGUAUUACAAAAACAGAAACUCUGCGUAGACCCUCGUUUUGUCAGCUUUGGAUCUCUUCCUACACAGCAAAAAAAAACAUAUUAAUUAUGUACAAAGAUUUGAAACAAUACAUGAAAACAGAAAAUAUUAGAGAAGACAAAAACAAACCUUUGCUUGCCAUGGUUUCGUAUCCUAUUCUUUUCUAAUGAGUUCUGAUAUGAACUUAAACUUUUUUGAGAUAAUGGCCAAAUAAAACAAAGGGGAACAUGAAUUUAUAAGAGUGGCUUAGAGGCAAGUUUAAACACAAAAUUACAAUGAAAUAAAUGAUGUCUGGAAGGUCUCAAUGGUAUCUCAUAAAUUUACAUGUUGAGGUCAGCUUAGGACAAAAUCACUUUGAGCACACAAGCUGGUUUAAAAAGUCUGUGGAUUAAUGAGUUAGUUGUAUGCUUGCGGCUGUGUUAAUUAGCAGACACAUGGAUCAAUGCAGGAAGGUUAGUUGGAUUGUAUUUAAUUAACAUAGGGUUUGGAAAUAGUUGAGGUAAACAAUGGAAAUAAGACGACUGAGGUAAUUAUAGAGUCCAGGAAGCGAUGCAAUAAAGGGUUAAUAGGUCCCAGUUAAUUAAUUCAGUUAGUUGGGUGAUUAAGAAUGCAUAAAAUGGAUUUGAGCUGCAAUUAGGGUUAGGAUUUUGGACUAAUCAGACCACCUUUGAUUAAUAUUAAGUAAGAUAAAUAUUCUUUCCUUGGUGGAUGAUAAAAUAAAUCAAAUUGCUGCAUGCAAUGUCAAGAAAUCAAAUUGAUAUUAGGAUCUCUAUAACAUUACAAGUUUAAUUUAUUAAAAGUUUAAAGUUGCAGUUUAUUAUUAUUUGUUAUGUUGAUAGUCAAAAUGUUUGUUUACAUCAAAUUGAGGUUUUGAUAUAUACAAGUUAUUGAACGAUUGCAAACUUAAGUACCAAUCAAAAUAAUCUAAUUUUGCAACAAAAAAAAAAAUCUAUUUUAGUUCCUGUUAACUAAGAAGUUGCUAUUCUAGAUUUUCCUUUGCAAUUUGUUUUCUGCAAUUUGAUAUAAUUCCUACCUCUACAAUUUGAUCUGUUUUACUAUUUAUUUAUUACGUUGAUUGAAUUUGUAUUUUAUUACUAGUAAUGUUCUAUUAGAUCUAGUUAGUAUAUAUCCAUAAUUUAAUAAAAGCCUCCACAAAAGUUAAUAAAAUUAUAAAUUACACGCAUUUAAUUGAAAUGUCAUUCUUACAAUUGUUAUAAAUUAAAUUAAAAAACACAACACCAAAACAUAUGGUAUCUCUUUCCUUUUUUCUUUUUUCACGUGAAGCUUAUCCCAAUCAUCUUAAACCAACUACAUAUAAGUUUUUUCCCUAUCUUUGUUAGAGAGAGUACGAUACAUUAUGGGAUAUGUGAGGUUGAUUAUAUUAAAGUCUGGCCAAAAAGUCUUUUUGUCUCUAUUCCAUGACCUAAAUCUUGGAAUCUGAUAGUUAUACCCUCUUCAAUUCACAGGUAAUUCUGCAAUUUUUUAGGUUUAUGUGAAAGAUAUAAUUUUCAAGUCUUAUUUGUAAUACUAUUAAUUAAGCUCAUAUCUUGAUUUGUUUUGUUUUGGGAGAAUUUCUAAGAUAUUUUGAAACUCAUCAUCGCAUCAAUUAGUUGUCUUUGUGGGUUUUAGUUGUUAUUGUUUGGAUGUUAUGUUUUUUACUUUUGAAUUUCUGCUCUGAGUUUUUGGCGUAGGUUUGACUUUGUUUAUAAGGGUACUUGGUUUAUAUGCAGGUGUUUUUGUAAGUGUUUUUCCUACUCCUUCUCUUCUUGAGUGGAGUAGGCUUUGUUAAUAAAGUUUUGAUUGUUAAAAAAAAAUCAAUUAGUUGCCUAUUAAUUGUCUUUUUUUGUUACAUUGAUUAUGUAUCAAUGGAACUGUAAUUUCCGAUUCAUGUCGAGUAUAGUUGAUAUUGUUGUUUACUUUAUAAUAGUUAUCAACACUUUGUAUAGUGUUUUGGGGUUUGGGUUGUACAGUAAUUUCUGUUAUAGACUAAUAUGGUUUUUGCUUCUGAAUGUUGGGUUGUUUUCCUGUUAAUUUGAAGCAUUGGAACAUUUUUUAAGUGUAUAAUAAUGCUGAAAUAUAUUAAUUUCAAGCAUGAGAUCAUUUUUUAAGUGUGUUACAAAAGUUUGAGUUCGGAACAAUCUAAGUUUUAAAACUGGUUUAAAUCUUUUUGUAGUUAAUAUAUGUUUUCUGCAAUUUGAGUUUGAAACAAUUGAUAUGAUUUCUAUCUCUGCAAUUUAAUCUAUUUUACUAUGUUUAUUUAUUAUUUUGCUUAAAUUAAUAUCUUAUUAUUGUCACAUUUUCUUUUCAGUCCUAUCAUCAAUUGCAUAGAAAUCACCCUUACUUAUAGCAGGUUGAUACCCUACUUUUAAAUCAGUAUACCUUCAAGGUCCCAUUAACUAUGUACUGAGAGUUCAAGAAGCAUUGAUAUGAUAACCUAUUUUGGGUUUGCUACCAAGGAUAUUACUUUCAUGGCGUAUGCAUCUCCUACCACAAAUUUUCAUUCUCCUACAUUGAUUACAGUGCCUCCUACAUUGUAUUUUCAAGAAUAAGAAAAUAAAACUGCUACUGCUAGAGAAAUCAUAAUCAAACAUCUAUGUGAUAUAGUAAAUAACUCUAAAGUUGACGAUAUGAUGUUGUUUUAUUUUUGUGGUCAUGGUAACCGCCGUAAUGAAAAUACAAACUGUAAUGAUACUGACUACGAAGAAUUCAUGGUUCUUCUUAAUGGAACUAAGAUAACAGUUCUUUUUUAGCUUUCAAUUAGCAAACUCCUAGUUUAAGUUUUAGUUUUAUUUUUUGGUAACAUGCUGAUUAAGCUUAAUCAUACUAUAGUGCUAAGGUAACAGGGACCGAAUAAUUUUUAUUUUAAUGGUUUUAAUUUUAUUUUUUAGCCUUCAACUUAGCCUUAAAAAAUCAAUCGUUUAAGUCUUGUGCUUGGAUUGAUGUUCAAUGCAAUUGAUUAUUGUUAAAAAAUAUAUAUAUUUUAAGAGAGCAAGAUGCAAGAAAGUUGGACUUUACUUGAUCGUAAAUUAAUUAGCAUACAACAAGAUACAAAUUAUUGAGUCGUUGCUUCGUAUAGAACUAAUUCACGUAUUACAAAUUAUAGGUUGUUGGAAUUUUAGUAUGUGUUUGGGGGUGUAGUGUUUGUUAAUAUGUUGGGUUUGGUGUUUUGUUGUUGUACUAAAUUUUUAUUUUACUUGUGGUGUGCAGACUCGGAUUUACGGUAUAUCAGUAAAGGAGUUUCUCAUGAUCGCUGAUUUAUCAUUGUUGUAAUUUUGGAGGCUUUUGGACGGAGCAAAAGAGAUUAUUGAAUUUAGUACUAAAGACCAAGAUUUAACUGAGAAGCGAAGAAAAAUGAAGGUUGCAGAUUUAGACUUACAAAAUAGGGCAACACCUCACUCGAGCAUUCUUUUAAGAGCAUGUCAAAUUCACCAAGAUGUUUUCUAGGGCCUAGAUUGGGAACGAUUGAAAAACAAUGCAUUUUUUACCAAAUUUUCGCUUAGCGUGAUCAAAGAAACCAAAAGGGACGUCACAUAUCGGGACUUAGUUGAAAGUAUUGGAGCUAUCAUUUACAAAAAAACUCGAAAGCUUAUCACCAAUACCCUGACUUUAUUGUAGUGAUACCCAGGCAAAUUUGAAGUUUUUGGGUUGUCCUUCUAAUGUUUAGAAUUAGGAGUGACAAAAGUUGUUAUUGUUGGAUUUUAAUUAUUAAAGAUGACAAACAUAACAUUGUGAUGUUUGGUAUUAUUAUUUAGUAACUAAUUUGUGUGUAUGUUUAUGUUUCAUUAGGACAAAUAUAUGUUUUAUUAUUUAGUAGCUAAUUUGUGCGUGUGUUUAUGUUUAUAAUAAAUGAUGCAAUAUUGAUUGAUAGGUAAGUACUUCAAUAUUAAGUCAUAUAUCUGAUUAUUGCAUAGCGCUAAGGAGUUGGACAUGAUUUUUAAGCAUAUCGUAUCAAUGGUUGAGUCAUUAUAUUGUAUGUUUUCAAUGUAGUUCAUCCCAUUAUAGGACAACAUUAUAGCAAUAUUGCAUUACAACCACAUAUUUAUAUUGAAAGUCUAUUAAAAAUAUUGCAUUCUAGGACAACAUUAUGCUUAUUGAUUAUUUGAUGAAUUAUUGUUUAAAUAUUGUAUAGAGGUUUGUGGGUGUUACACUAGACCCAUUAAAAAUACCUCUUAUACUAGGUUGUUUAGGUAACAUGGUUUAUCAUAUACUCCCCCCAAAUAUAUGGUAAAUCUUAAAAGGCUUCACAAAAGUUAAUAAAAUUAUAUAUUACACACAUUUACUUGAAAUAUCAUUCUUACCCUUGUUAUGAAAUAAAUAAAAAAACACAACACCAACACUUUCCCGUUUUAUAAUACAUUAAAUAAACAAGUAACCACUUUGUUUUAUGUCAAUCAAUCUACAUGUGCAUAUCUUAUUAAAGAGAGGGACUAGAAGACUUGAUAUUUCACACUUUUGUAGCAUAGUACACGAUUGGAUAGAUCUAAAGAAAUAAGUUAUAAUUUAAUACUUCAACUUUCUCUCUUUCAAAAUUUCCUAUCCAACUUUAACUUUGUCUCUCUUACUCGGAAAAUACUUGGGUGCCAUAUUUUUUUGGUGACAUUGGUGAUAUAGGUUCAUUUUAUAUGAGAGAGAAUGAUUAAACUAAAUUAUUUAGAUGAGAGAGAGAAUAAGUUAUUAAGAGAGAUAAACACAAAGUUAUCUAUGGCACCAAUGGCACCAA
rnacentral:lncRNA from 1 species